rnacentral:rRNA from 1 species
GUGAGGAAUAUUGCGCAAUGGAGGCAACUCUGACGCAGCCAUGCCGCGUGCAGGAAGAAGGCGCUACGCGUUGUAAACUGCUUUUAACCGGGAAGAAACCCCAGGACGUGUCCUGGGUUGACGGUACCGGAGGAAUAAGCACCGGCUAACUUCGUGCCAGCAGCCGCGGUAAUACGAAGGGUGCAAGCGUCAUCCGGAUUCAUUGGGUUUAAAGGGUGCGUAGGCGGAGCGUUAAGUCAGUGGUGAAAUCCUGCAGCUUAACUGUAGACUUGUCAUUGAUACUGGCGCUCUUGAGUGCGCUUGAAGUGGGCGGAAUGUGCCGUGUAGCGGUGAAAUGCUUAGAUAUGGCACAGAACACCAAUUGCGAAGGCAGCUCACUAAGGCGAUACUGACGCUGAGGCACGAAAGCGUGGGGAUCGAACAGGAUUAGAUACCCUUGCAGUCC